rnacentral:rRNA from 1 species
UACAGAGGGGGCAAGCGUUGUUCGGAAUUACUGGGCGUAAAGGGCGCGUAGGCGGCCCGCUAAGUCGAACGUGAAAUCCCCGAGCUCAACUCGGGAACUGCGUCCGAUACUGGUGGGCUUGAAUCCGGGAGAGGGAUGCGGAAUUCCAGGUGUAGCGGUGAAAUGCGUAGAUAUCUGGAGGAAUACCGGUGGCGAAGGCGGCAUCCUGGACCGGCAUUGACGCUGAGUGAGCGAAAGCCAGGGGAGCAAACGGG